CAAGAAGCCCGAAAGGCUACUUACAACCAUAGCGAACCUAUCCUCACGUUGCUUCGGCGGGUAGGCUCCCCCUCACGGGGGACCGGCAGCCCGCUGCCUCAGGAGGUACGGGCCGCCGCCGGAGGUACGAAACUCUGUAUAUAGCUAGGUAUCUCUGAGUAUACAACAAAUAAGUUA
rnacentral:misc_RNA from 1 species